ensembl:snoRNA
UAGCACAUCACAUUGUCCUGUUCUUCCCUUGUAAGAGCUGAGAUAUUUCUUAUGUGCUAAAUAAACCUUGGAGGUAAAUUAGCAGAAUGGCUGUUUUCUGUGCCAACCUGCCAGUCCCCUUCAUACAUCU